rnacentral:rRNA from 1 species
GACGUAGGGGGCGAGCGUUGUCCGGAUUUAUUGGGCGUAAAGAGCGUGUAGGCGGUUUGGUAGGUCCGCUGUGAAAACUCGAGGCUCAACCUCGAGACGCCGGUGGAAACCAUCAGACUAGAGUCCGGAAGAGGAGAGUGGAAUUCCUGGUGUAGCGGUGAAAUGCGCAGAUAUCAGGAAGAACACCCGUGGCUAAGGCGGCUCUCUAGUACGGUACUGACGCUGAGACGCGAAAGCGUGGGGAGCGAACAGG